GCGGGGGUUGCCGAGUCUGGAAAAGGCGCAGGGCUUAGGACCCUGUCCCGUAGGGGUCCGAGGGUUCAAAUCCCUCCCCCCGCA
rnacentral:tRNA from 1 species